AUGGUUUCAUUAGAAUAUAUCACUGUGGAGGACUUUUGGUGGAGGCUCCAAACUCGUUCCGGUCCCACGGUGAAGCCCUCCGUGUCUCUGCUCCCUCCGUCUCCUCUGCAGCUGUCUGAGGGAUCGGCCUCGCUGCUCUGCCUGCUGUCUGGCUACUCUCCACAGGGGGCGCUGGUGAGCUGGACAGUGGAUGGCUCAGAGGUGAAGGACGGGGUUCUGACCAGCUCAGAAGAACAGAAGAAGGACGGGUACACACGCAGCAGCACCCUGACCCUCAGCAAAGACCUCUGGGAAAAGGGGGAGGAGUUUGUCUGUACAGUCUCCCAUGACUGCGGCUAUCAUCCGGUCACGUUCAGAAAGAGUCAGUGUGAAGUCUAA